rfam:Gossypium hirsutum cultivar TM-1 chromosome 25, whole genome shotgun sequence
AUUCCAUGAUGAGGGCACUUCCGUAAUAAUUCUUAGUACCUUACCCAUGCCUCAUACAAUGACUCAUCAUCCAUUUGUUGGAAAGCAGUGACCUCGUUCCUCAACUU